rnacentral:rRNA from 1 species
GACGAACGCUGGCGGCGUGCUUAACACAUGCAAGUCGAACGCUGAAGCCUAGCUUGCUGGGUGGAUGAGUGGCGAACGGGUGAGUAACACGUGAGUAACCUGCCCCCUUCUUUGGGAUAACGCCCGGAAACGGGUGCUAAUACUGGAUAUUCACUGAUCUUCGCAUGGGGGUUGGUGGAAAGGUUUGUUCUGGUGGGGGAUGGGCUCGCGGCCUAUCAGCUUGUUGGUGGGGUGAUGGCCUACCAAGGCUUUGACGGGUAGCCGGCCUGAGAGGGUGACCGGUCACAUUGGGACUGAGAUACGGCCCAGACUCCUACGGGAGGCAGCAGUGGGGAAUAUUGCACAAUGGGCGAAAGCCUGAUGCAGCGACGCCGCGUGAGGGAUGGAGGCCUUCGGGUUGUAAACCUCUUUCGCUCAUGGUCAAGCCGCAGCAGUGGUUGUGGUGAGGGUAGUGGGUAAAGAAGCGCCGGCUAACUACGUGUCAGCAGCCGCGGUAAUACGUAGGGCGCGAGCGUUGUCCGGAAUUAUUGGGCGUAAAGGGCUUGUAGGCGGUUGGUCGCGUCUGCCGUGAAAUCCUCUGGCUUAACUGGGGGCGUGCGGUGGGUACGGGCUGACUUGAGUGCGGUAGGGGAGACUGGAACUCCUGGUGUAGCGGUGGAAUGCGCAGAUAUCAGGAAGAACACCGGUGGCGAAGGCGGGUCUCUGGGCCGUUACUGACGCUGAGGAGCGAAAGCGUGGGGAGCGAACAGG